GCCCCGGUAGCCCAGCGGUUAGAGGCGAUGGUCUCAAACACCAUACAGCGUGGGUUCGAAUCCCACUCGGGGCA
rnacentral:tRNA from 4 species